UACGAAGGGGGCGAGCGUUGUUCGGAAUUACUGGGCGUAAAGGGCGCGCAGGCGGCUCAGACAGUCAGAUGUGAAAGCCCCGGGCUUAACCUGGGAACUGCAUUUGAUACUACUGAGCUUGAGUACGGGAGAGGAUAGUGGAAUUCCCAGUGUAGAGGUGAAAUUCGUAGAUAUUGGGAAGAACACCGGUGGCGAAGGCGGCGACCUGGCCCAUUACUGACGCUGAGGCACGAAAGCGUGGGGAGCAAACAGG
rnacentral:rRNA from 1 species